UACAGAGGGUGCGAGCGUUGUUCGGAAUUACUGGGCGUAAAGCGUGCGCAGGCGGUCUUUUAAGUCAGAUGUGAAAUCCCCGGGCUUAACCUGGGAACUGCGUUUGAAACUGGAAGGCUUGAGUGUGGCAGAGGGGGGUGGAAUUCCACGUGUAGCAGUGAAAUGCGUAGAGAUGUGGAGGAACACCGAUGGCGAAGGCAGCCCCCUGGGCUAACACUGACGCUCAUGCACGAAAGCGUGGGGAGCAAACAGG
rnacentral:rRNA from 1 species